ACGAGUUAGGGUCCUCUAGGGCCCGACCUCCCAACCCUUUGCUUACCGAACCUCUGUUGCUUCGGCGGCCCGCUCACGACCGCCGGAGGAUCCGCCCCAGGCGGUCCUCUAGGCCCGUGUCCCGCCGAUAGCCACUAUCAAAACUCUGUAAUAAAUCAUGUCUCAUGUCUAAGUCAGAUUGAAUAAAAGCA
rnacentral:misc_RNA from 1 species